rnacentral:rRNA from 1 species
UGCGGAGGGUGCAAGCGUUAAUCGGAGUUACUGGGCGUAAAGCGCACGCGGGCGGUUUGUUAAGUCAGAUGUGAAAUCCCCGGGCUCAACCUGGGAACUGCAUCUGAUACUGGCAAGCUUGAGUCUCGUAGAGGGGGGUAGAAUUCCAGGUGUAGCGGUGAAAUGCGUAGAGAUCUGGAGGAAUACCGGUGGCGAAGGCGGCCCCCUGGACGAAGACUGACGCUCAGGUGCGAAAGCGUGGGGAGCAAAC